UACGGAGGGUGCAAGCGUUAUCCGGAUUCACUGGGUUUAAAGGGUGCGUAGGUGGAUUGGUAAGUCAGUGGUGAAAUCUCCGAGCUUAACUUGGAAACUGCCGUUGAUACUAUCUGUCUUGAAUAUUGUGGAGGUGAGCGGAAUAUGUCAUGUAGCGGUGAAAUGCUUAGAUAUGACAUAGAACACCAAUUGCGAAGGCAGCUCGCUACACAUAUAUUGACUCUGAGGCACGAAAGCGUGGGGAUCAAACAGG
rnacentral:rRNA from 1 species